GUCUAUAGCCAAUGCACCCUGAACAAGUCCGAUCCUGUCUGAUCUUGGAAGCUAAGCAGGGUUGGGCCUGGUUAGUACUCUGAUGGGAGACCACCUGGGAAGACCAGGUGCCAUAGGUU
rnacentral:rRNA from 1 species